rnacentral:sRNA from 1 species
GGUUCGAGUCGAACGCAGUGAGACAACGGAGCCGCUUGCGGCGACGGCCCGCAGGGGGAGGCGAAGCCGAGUCAUCCUGCACGACCCACCA